UACAUAGGUGGCAAGCGUUAUCCGGAUUUAUUGGGCGUAAAGCGUGCGUAGGUGGCCAAUUAAGUCAAAUGUGAAAUCCCCGAGCUUAACUUGGGAAUUGCAUUCGAUACUGGUUGGCUAGAGUAUGGGAGAGGAUGGUAGAAUUCCAGGUGUAGCGGUGAAAUGCGUAGAGAUCUGGAGGAAUACCGAUGGCGAAGGCAGCCAUCUGGCCUAAUACUGACACUGAGGCACGAAAGCAUGGGGAGCAAACAGG
rnacentral:rRNA from 1 species